rnacentral:rRNA from 1 species
UAAGUAAGUGGUGGAAAUUAAACCAAAUGGGAUAUCUUUAGUAAUUGCGAAUGAACAAGGAUAUGCUUAGCUUGACAAAUGGAGCUAUUGGCUUUGAAUUGUAUUGUGGAAAUGUAUUACCAACAGAGGUGCAGGUGCCAGCCUAUUGAAAUAAAGCGUCAAUGAGGGUGAGAAUCCUGUUUGUCAUGUGCAGCCCUUUGUGCACGGUGUAUAUUUGCUGAGUCACACUCCUUGGCAUUGGAAUGCAAAGUGGGUGGUAAGUUUCAUGUAAAGGUAAACAUGCAAUUGAGACUGAUAGCACACAAGUACCAUGAGGGAAAUAUGAAAAGGACUUUGAAAAGAGAAUUAAAUGAGUUUGUAUUUGCUGAACACAAAGUAAACAGACUUGAUUUGCUUGGUGGGAGUGUUGCACUUGCUUGACAAGAGCUUUGGGCUGUGGGUGUAAUGAUUCUUUCUUUGCAUGCCAGUUUCUAUUUGUACAUCUGAUUACCUUUGCACAUGAAUGAUAAGUCUCCUGUGGGGGGUGGAUUGCAUGUGCAUGUAAUGAUUUGUGUUUUGAUAMAUGUGUCUGGUGUAUGUGUGUGUGUUCCUGUGCUUGGGGAUGCUUCCUUCCUUGGACUUACAAGCCCUGACAC